CAGUGAGUGAGGGGACAGUGAGCAGGGGGACACUCAGCUACAGAGUGAGUGAGGGGACAGUGAGCUGGGGGGACACUCAGCUACAGAGUGAGUAGGGGCAGUGAGUGAGUGAGGGCAGUGAGUGAACAUUAGACAGUGAGUGAGUGAGGGCAAUGAGUGAGGGGGCAGUGAGUGAGCAUUAGACAGUGAGUGAGGAUUAAACAGUGAGUGAGAGGGGGUAUUAGACAGUGAGUGAGGGCAGUGAGUGAGGAUUAGACAGUGAGUGAGGAUUAGACAGUGAGUGAGGGGGCAGUGAGUGAGGAUUAGACAGUGAGUGAGGGGGCAGUGAGUGAGGAUUAGACAGUGAGGGAGGGGGCAGUGAGUGAGGAUUAGACAGUGAGUGAGAGGGCAGUGAGUGAGGAUUAGACAGUGAGUGAGGGCAGUGAGUGAGGAUUAGACAGUGAGUGAGAGGG